CCUACGGGAGGCAGCAGUGAGGAAUAUUGGUCAAUGGGCGCGAGCCUGAACCAGCCAAGUCGCGUGAGGGAAGACGGUCCUAUGGAUUGUAAACCUCUUUUGUCGGGGAGCAAAAGACGCCACGCGUGGCGUUCCGAGAGUACCCGAAGAAAAAGCAUCGGCUAACUCGGUGCCAGCAGCCGCGGUAAUACGGAGGAAGCGAGCGUGAGCCGGAUUUAUUGGGUUAAAAGGGUGCGCAGGCGGAAGAUCAAGUCAGCGGUAAAAUUGAGAGGCUCAACCUCUUCGAGCCGUUGAAACUGGUUAUCUUGAGUGAGUGAGAAGUAUGCGGAAUGCGUGGUGUAGCGGUGAAAUGCAUAGAUAUCACGCAGAACUCCGAUUGCGAAGGCAGCAUACCGGCGCUCAACUGACGCUCAUGCACGAAAGUGUGGGUAUCGAACAGGAUUAGAUACCCCUGUAGUC
rnacentral:rRNA from 1 species